AACGCACCUUGCGCUCCUUGGUAUUCCGAGGAGCAUGCCUGUUUGAGUGUCAUUAAUAUAUCAAUCUCUUCAGCUUUUGCUUGUUGAGUGUUGGAUGUGGGGGUCUUUUUUUGCUGGUCUUUCCAAGGUCAGCUCCCCUGAAAUGCAUUAGCGGAACAAUUUGUGGACCGUUCAUUGGUGUGAUAACUAUCUACGCUAUUGACGUGAAGCAGUUCAGCUUAUAACAGUCCAUUCACUUGGACAAAUUUUCAUUAAUGUGACCUCAAAUCAGGUAGGACUACCCGCUGAACUUAA
rnacentral:misc_RNA from 1 species